GACGAACCGUGCGAACGUUAUUCGGAAUUACUGGGCGUAAAGUGUGCGCAGGCGGCUGAGCAAGUCGAGUGUGAAAGCCCCGGGCUUAACUUGGGAAUUGCGCUCGAAACUACUUGGCUGGAGUGUGGCAGAGGAAGGUGGAAUUCCACGUGUAGCGGUGAAAUGCGUAGAGAUGUGGAGGAACACCAAUGGCGAAGGCAGCCUUCUGGGCCAACACUGACGCUCAUGCACGAAAGCGUGGGGAGCAAACAGG
rnacentral:rRNA from 1 species